rnacentral:rRNA from 1 species
AUUGAACGCUGGCGGCAGGCCUAACACAUGCAAGUCGAGCGGCUGAAGGGUGCUUGCUCCUGGUUACAGCGGCGGACGGGCGGGCAAUUCCUAGGAACCUGCCUGGCAGCGUGGGAUAACGUCCGGACACGGGCGCUAAUACCCCAUAACUCCUGACGGCCUACGUGGGGGAGCAUCGGACCUUCCGCCCUUAGAUGAGCGUAGGUCGGAUUAUCUAGUUGGGUGGGUAAAGGCCUAACAAGGCGACGAUCCGUAACUGGGCUGAGAGGAUGAGCAGGCAAACUGGAACUUGAGAACGGUCCAGACUCCUAAGGGAGGCAGGAGUGGGGAAUAUUGGAACAUGGGCGGAAGGCUGAUCCCGCCAAGCCGCGUGUGUGAAGAAGGUCUUCGGAUUUGAAAGCACUUUAAGUUGGGAGGAAAGACAGUAAGUUAAUACCUUGCUGUUUUGACGUUACCAACAGAAUAAGCACCGGCUAACUUCGUG